rnacentral:rRNA from 1 species
UACAGAGGUCCCGAGCGUUGUUCGGAUUCACUGGGCGUAAAGGGUGCGCAGGUGGGUUUGUAAGCCAGAUGUGAAAGCCCCGGGCUUAACCUGGGAAUGGCAUUUGGGACUGCAAGGCUUGAGUGCGGCAGAGGAGACUGGAAUUCCUGGUGUAGCAGUGAAAUGCGUAGAUAUCAGGAGGAAUACCGAUGGCGAAGGCAGGUCUCUGGGCUGACACUGACGCUCAUGCACGAAAGCGUGGGGAGCAAACAGG